UACGGGGGGGGCAAGCGUUGUUCGGAAUUACUGGGCGUAAAGGGUUCGUAGGUGGCUCGCUAAGUCAGACGUGAAAUCCCUCAGCUUAACUGGGGAACUGCGUCUGAGACUGAUGAGCUCGAGUGCAGGAGAGGAACGCGGAAUUCCAGGUGUAGCGGUGAAAUGCGUAGAUAUCUGGAGGAACACCGGUGGCGAAGGCGCCCACCUGGCCUGCUACUGACGCUGAAGCUCGAAAGCUAGGGGAGCAAACGGG
rnacentral:rRNA from 1 species